rnacentral:rRNA from 1 species
AUACGUAGGGGACGAGCGUUGUCCGGAAUUACUGGGCGUAAAGGGCGCGCAGGCGGAUAUUUAAGUCAGCUGUAAAAGGCAUGAGCUCAACUCAUGUAUGCGGUUGAAACUGGGUAUCUAGAGUACUGGAGAGGUAGGCGGAAUUACCGGUGUAGCGGUGAAAUGCGUAGAUAUCGGGAAGAACACCAGUGGCGAAGGCGGCUUACUGGCCAGCAACUGACGCUGAGGCGCGAAAGCCAGGGGAGCGAACGGGAUUAGAUACCCCGGUAGUCCUGGCCGUAAACGAUGAAUGCUAGGUGUGGGUGUCGAGAGGCAUCCGUGCCGGAGUUAACGCGAUAAGCAUUCCGCCUGGGGAGUACGAUCGCAAGAUUGAAACUCAAAUGAAUUGACGGGG